GUCUAUCCACUUUUUGUUCACAAGGAAGUUGAAGCUAUACAGGAAAUAUGCCUUUCAAUUUACAGCGAAAAUGGAAGCUUUAUCGUUAUAUGUGAACUUUUCAUUUCUAUGUAGCAACAUUCCAGCAGCGCCUGCAUACGGAGUAUAUAUCUCCCAAUUGAUACGAUAUUCCCGGGCUUGUAUUUCCUAUCAUGAUAUCCUUGAUAGAGGAUUGCUGCUCACAAGGAAGCUAUUUAACCAAGAGUUCUAAAUGGUGAAGUUGAAAUCAUCCCUUCGUAAAUUUUACGGACACCAUCACGAGUUGAUUGACCGUUAUGGAAUAACCGUUUCACAGAUGCUAUCGGAUAUGUUCCUUAUGUCGUUCCCUUUUCACGAAUGUGACCUACCGAAUUAGACUAUUUACCGGAUUUGUAAUAACAUAAGCAACACGACGGGUGCCACAUGUGGAGCAGGAUCUGCUUACCCUUCCGGAGCACCUGAGAUCACCCCCAGUUUUUGGUGGGGUUCGUGAUGCUUAGUCUUUAGUUUUCUAUGUUGUGUCAUUUCUACUAUUAUUUGUCUGUUUGUCUUUUUAUUUUUGGCUAUGGCGUUGUCAGUUUGUUUUCGAUCUGUGAGUUUGACUGUCCCUCUGGUAUCUUUCGUCCCUCUCUUUUCGAACAACCUUAUUGGGCGUACUCAUUUCUUAUUCUAUAUUAACUUUUUUUCUUUUUAAUGUGAAGUUAAAGGAUAGAAAUGAACUUAAUUCCUUUUUGUGUCAAUUUUAAGAAAAAUUAUUAUAUGAAUACAGUUCUAAAAAACUUCAACGUGUAUCCCCUUCCUGUUCACAAGGAAGUUGAAGCAAUACAGGAAAUAUGCCUUUCAGUUUACAGUGAAAAUUAAAACUUUAUCGUUAUAUGCAGAUAACUUCGAACAACCCAGUUGUGCAUACUCAUUUCUUAUUCUACAAAACUUUUGUUGUUUUUAAUGUGAAUUUGUUAUUUUCAAGUUUAAAGAUAGAAAUGAACUGGAUUCCUUUUCUAGUCUUUGCGAUACAUGUAGUCCUUAUUGCUGGCUUCGUUAAGAAAUGUCCCAACAGAGAACAAUUUGACGUUGUAGCGGAAUUAAGUUGCCCUGAAAAUUUGGAUCUUUUCCACUGCUUACCUGUGCUUCCAGACUACAACGAUGUAAUCUUUAUUUGCAAACCUCCAAAAUGGUUUGUCAAUGGAACUUUUGCUGUGUGGUCUCCGAAAUACGAGAAAAUUACAUCAGUCCCAUGCGAGAACAAUAGAUACCAAGAACUUCCUUACAAAUCAAAUGAUAGAUUUGCUUUUAAAUGUUCAAUGGGAAAGAACUUUUGUACAGAAAAAGGACAGGCUAAACUAUUACAUAACCUUAAAACCGAAGAUAAUCUCUGUUUCUGUUCGGAUGGUUACACAUUUCUAACAGAACCUAAGAAUGGCACAUACUGCAACCCGGAUGUUGAAAACUGCACUUGCAUUUGGGAAGGAAUAGGCAAGUAA